rnacentral:rRNA from 1 species
CAAUAGCGUAUAUUAAAGUUGUUGCGGUUAAAAAGCUCGUAGUUGGAUUUCUGCUGAGAACGACCGGUCCGCCCUCUGGGUGUGUAUCUGGCUCUUUCUUGGCAUCUUCUUGGUGAACGUUGCUGCACUUGACUGUGUGGAGCGCUACCCAGGACUUUUACUUUGAGGAAAUUAGAGUGUUUCAAGCAGGCAUACGCCUUGAAUACAUUAGCAUGGAAUAAUAAGAUAGGACCUCGGUUCUAUUUUGUUGGUUUCUAGAGCUGAGGUAAUGAUUAAUAGGGAUAGUUGGGGGCAUUCGUAUUUAACUGUCAGAGGUGAAAUUCUUGGAUUAGUUGAAGACGAUCUACUGCGAAAGCAUUUGCCAGGGAUGUUUUCAUUGA